UUUUUGUGAAAAUCCAAGUAGGGGCUGCUCUUCUUGCUCCUUGACAGUGAAGAGGGAAGGAGCCAUGGUGCAGGA